rnacentral:tRNA from 1 species
GCCCGCGUAGCUCAGCGGAUAGAGCGACGGCCUUCGAAGCCGCAGGCCGCAGGUUCGAAUCCUGCCGCGGGCGCCU